GACAGAGGGUGCAAGCGUUGUUCGGAAUCAUUGGGCGUAAAGAGCUCGUAGGCGGCUUGUCGCGUCGGAUGUGAAAGCCCGGGGCUUAACUCCGGGUCUGCAUUCGAUACGGGCAGGCUAGAGUUCGGUAGGGGAGAUCGGAAUUCCUGGUGUAGCGGUGAAAUGACGCAGAUAUCAGGAGGAACACCGGUGGCGAAGGCGGAUCUCUGGGCCGAUACUGACGCUGAGGAGCGAAAGCGUGGGGAGCGAACAGG
rnacentral:rRNA from 1 species